CACGUAGGCGGCUUUGUAAGUUAGAGGUGAAAGCCCAGGGCUCAACCCUGGAAUUGCCUUUAAGACUGCAUCGCUUGAACAUCGGAGAGGUAAGUGGAAUUCCGAGUGUAGAGGUGAAAUUCGUAGAUAUUCGAAAGAACACCAGUGGCGAAGGCGACUUACUGGACGAUUGUUGACGCUGAGGUGCGAAAGCGUGGGGAGCAAACA
rnacentral:rRNA from 1 species